UGAAAAUAGACGGCAUAUAUAUACAAAUUACAAAGAGUUUAACAGCCGCUUACAAAAUAUCAAAAUUUUUCAGGUUUCUUAGAAAAGUUUCUCCGACUAUAGAGCCAACCUUAACAAAUACAGCAGGAUAGCCUAAUGGAGCUUCAACCCAAGCUUGACAACCUUGUUUUUGGAACCACUAGGAUCUCACUGCCUACCAAGAACUGCUCGUAACUUAAGCUUUGAACCCUCUCGUCGUUUGGGUAGUGAAGAAAUAGAUGACGGCAGACAGGUGAUCCCUUUUGAGCCGCUUCCUAUUUGUUUUGUGUACAACGAAGACAGCAAGAGGAUGGACUUUGACUUACCUCAUGAGUACGGAAAACUAUGGUGAAUGCAUUUAGCUCCAUCCAUCUCAAAAGCAACUCUUCAGUUCGACAGUACCUAAUAAAAGAUAUCGUAGCUACCAGGAGCUCGGGGAUCAUCAAGGAUCGUCACCACACUAUCGAACUAUAUUUUGGUACCUUUUGACAUUAUGAAUAUUAGAAUAUGACAUGUAUAGGCUAGAGGUAUUUGGAUAUGUUUUGUAAUGUAUAUAUCUAGCCAUGUGAUUUGGCUUGAUUAUGGUUGUGUACAUGAAUGAAUUUUUGGUAUAUGAUAUGUGAUA